rnacentral:rRNA from 1 species
AGGACGAACGCUGGCGGCGUGCUUAACACAUGCAAGUCGAGCGGAAAGGCCCUUCGGGGUACUCGAGCGGCGAACGGGUGAGUAACACGUGGGCAACCUGCCCCUAGCUCUGGGAUAACUCCGGGAAACCGGGCUAAUACCGGAUACGAUCUUCCAUGGCAUCUCGGAAGAUGGAAAGUUUUUCGGCUAGGGAUGGGCCCGCGGCCUAUCAGCUUGUUGGUGAGGUAACGGCCCACCAAGGCGACAACGGGUAG